rnacentral:rRNA from 1 species
UACGGAGGGUGCAAGCGUUAUCCGGAUUCACUGGGUUUAAAGGGUGCGUAGGGGGGCAAGUAAGUCAGUGGUGAAAUCUCCGGGCUUAACCCGGAAACUGCCAUUGAUACUAUUUGUCUUGAAUACUGUGGAGGUCAGCGGAAUAUGUCAUGUAGCGGUGAAAUGCUUAGAUAUGACAUAGAACACCAAUUGCGAAGGCAGCUGGCUGCACAAAUAUUGACACUGAGGCACGAAAGCGUGGGGAUCAAACAGG